UUUCCGCGUGAAAUAAUUGUU
rnacentral:piRNA from 1 species